AUUGAACGCUGGCGGAAUGCUUUACACAUGCAAGUCGAGCGGGGUGAUGGUGCUUGCACUAUCACUUAGCGGCGGACGGGUGAGUAAUGCUUAGGAAUCUGCCUAUUAGUGGGGGACAACAUCUCGAAAGGGAUGCUAAUACCGCAUACGUCCUACGGGAGAAAGCAGGGGAUCACUUGUGACCUUGCGCUAAUAGAUGAGCCUAAGUCGGAUUAGCUAGUUGGUGGGGUAAAGGCCUACCAAGGCGACGAUCUGUAGCGGGUCUGAGAGGAUGAUCCGCCACACUGGGACUGAGACACGGCCCAGACUCCUACGGGAGGCAGCAGUGGGGAAUAUUGGACAAUGGGGGGAACCCUGAUCCAGCCAGGCCGCGUGUGUGAAGAAGGCCUUAUGGUUGUAAAGCACUUUAAGCGAGGAGGAGGCUCUUUUGGUUAAUACCCAGAAUGAGUGGACGUUACUCGCAGAAUAAGCACCGGCUAACUCUGUGCCAGCCGCCGCGGUAA
rnacentral:rRNA from 1 species